rnacentral:misc_RNA from 1 species
AAAAUUCAAUUUUUUCAUCUCGCUUUUAGCGAUUACACUCAUUAGAUAAUUGGACCUAUUGCCUUUUAUCAAUUAAAUAAACCUGUUUGGCAGACAGUGGCAACUAACCCCAAUCACCUGCCACCAAAAUAUUUACUGUAAACAAUGUUAACUGUCAUUAAAACCCGUUAUUAGCAUCUGUGUACUGUCCAGCUUCACUGCCCCAUUCCAUUCAUCAAACUUCACCACGAGCCAAAAUGAACCCAUUGCAAAUAGUGUUUUGCGUUCUAACAGCCACUCUGAUAGUAUACUCGAGCUUGAUCAACCUGCUGGAGCCCCGAUUGCCACAGUUUCUUUCCAGAGUGUUUAGGUAUGGCAAAUUCGCAGUGCCAGGCAAGUCGGUCUUUGCAGUAGAAGUACCUAAGGCGUGGUUCAAGCAUUUCUAUAGUCUGGCUGUGGUUGAGUACAUCUGCUUUAUGGGAUUGUUGUCGCUUGUUUAUUUCGCGGGCAUGGCGGUUCCACCCCAGAUCAACUCAAUAUUAAACGCGCUGUAUGGCCCAGAUAAAAUUGCUCUUUGCGGCAAGCACAAUGUGUACUUGGCAGCUUGUUUACUCACAACACAAGUGUUUCGUCGAUUUUACGAUACUCAGAAAGUAUCAGUUUUUGGUGAACAAAGCAAAAUGAAUUUAUCUCAUUAUGUUGUUGGUCAUUUGCACUAUCUGGGAACCAUUUUGGCAGUGCUUUGCGAAGCUCCUGAGUUUGCCUACACUUCAGAAAGUCAUAAGCAAUUGAACUUAAUAACAACAUCUAUAUCUGACAAAAUAUCAGCUCUAAUAUUUCUGUGCGCUUGGAAGCACCAGCAAGAUAUUGGGCAAUCUACGAAAAAAUGAGGAUGGUGAUGUAGUGUCCAACGGCUAUAAAAUACCACAAGGUGAUUGGUUUAAAUAUCUAUCGUGUCCUCCUCAUCAGACUGCAGAGAUUAUAAUGUACUCCUGUGUAACGUGGAUAUUGUGGUACAACGUCUCAUGGUUUUUCAUUUUCACUUGGGUGUUAGUAAAUCAGGUGGAAACUAUCUUGUUGUCUCAUUGGUGGUACAAAGAAAAAAUCGAUGAUUUUCCUAAAGAAAGAAAGCUCUCAUACCAUUUCUGUACUAAAUAAAUGGUUACUCUAUGCUGACCUCGUUUCGAAUUCUGUUAAUUUAGGUAUCUUCAUUACAAGCCGUUUAAUGGAGAAUUUAUUUUGUUAUGUUCUGACCCGAUUAAUUCGUAAUCGCUAUUAAUCGACAGGUGGAUUAACAGAUUAAAGAUAAUUCAAAGCGUUACCUCCGGACGAUUUUCAUAUUGCAAAUUUCCCUUUUUUAUUAAAUAUGUGAAGCUCACAUAUAAUAAAUUAACAUAAAUAAAACUAUUAAAUUAUUC